rnacentral:rRNA from 1 species
UACGUAGGGGGCAAGCGUUGUCCGGAGUUACUGGGCGUAAAGCGCACGCAGGCGGUCGAUUAAGUUUGGAGUGACAGGUGGUGGCUUAACUGCCAAAGUGCUUCGAAAACUGAUCGACUUGAGGGCUUCAGAGGGACACGGAAUUCCGGGUGGAGUGGUGAAAUGCGUAGAGAUCCGGAGGAACACCGAAGGCGAAGGCAGUGUCCUGGGGAGUACCUGACGCUCAGGUGCGAAAGCCAGGGGAGCGAACGGG